rnacentral:rRNA from 1 species
AGAGCGAACGCUGGCGGCAGGCCUAACACAUGCAAGUCGAGCGCCCGUAGCAAUACGGGAGCGGCAGACGGGAUAGUAACACGUGGGAACGCGCCCUUCGGUUCGGAAUAACUCAGGGAAACUUGAGCUAAUACCGAAUACGCCCUUACGGGGAAAGAUUUAUUGCCGAAGGAACGGCCCGCGUCCGAUUAGCUAGUUGGUGAGGUAAUGGCUCACCAAGGCUACGAUCGGUAGCUGGUCUGAGAGGAUGACCAGCAUCACUGGGACUGAGACACGGCCCAGACUCCUACGGGAGGCAGCAGUGGGGAAUAUUGGACAAUGGGCGCAAGCCUGAUCCAGCCAUGCCGCGUGGAUGAUGAAGGCCCUAGGGUUGUAAAGUCCUUUUAACGGGGAAGAUAAUGACGGUACCCGUAGAAUAAGCCCCGGCUAACUCGUGCCAGCAGCCGC